rnacentral:rRNA from 1 species
CAGCGCCACGAGUGGUAACCACGUUUAUUGGGCCUAAAGCGUCCGUAGCCGGUUUGAUAAAUCUUUUGUGAAAUUGUACAGCUUAACUGUACAGCGUGCAAGAGACACUGUCAAACUUGAGACCGGGAGGAGUCAGAAGUAUUCCAGAGGGAGCGGUAAAAUGUUAUAAUCUCUGGAGGACUACCUGUGGCGAAGGCGUCUGACCAGAACGGAUCUGACGGUGAGGGACGAAAGUCAGGGGAUCAAAACGGAUUAGAGACCCGAGUAGUCC